AAGCAAAAAAACACACCAACCAGAUGCCGAUAAACCGAUAAAAAUCCUCAAACCGGAAAUCCGAUUAGGAUUUCCUAUCUUUAUUCCCAUUUUUGUGCACCCGGAAAGUAAUUUUUCCGGGGAAGGACUGAUUGCCUGCGCUGAACACGCGGGCACAUGAAGUCGUGUAUAAGUGCUGUAUAUUGGACGCUAACUGGACCUGGUUAGGUAUA
rnacentral:misc_RNA from 1 species